CAAAAAAUUAUGUCCAUGUCUACUCUCAGGCCUGGGAAUGCACUAUUCCAUCAGACUUGCUGCAGUGGUCUCACUCUGCUGGGGCCAGCGACCCCUCCUAAGGAAACUCACCCUCUGCAUAAGCACUAACAUUUUGCCUGCAUUUUUUUUUCUGGGUGGGGUGGCGGGGUCCCCGAAUACGGUGAAAUUCACCCAGUCUCCUCCAAGGCUAAGCCUGAGUGGUAAGAACAGGAGAUUCCAUCGGGGCUUUGGGGCCAGAAGCAAGUGAGAGGUUUAACCACAGGGAGCCAAAGAGGAGGGAAGAUGUUCAGCUCCCUGGGGCACAUUCAGACUUUUGGUCUCAGGUUUGGAAGGUUGGAAGGCGGCUUCACUUCCCUUUCCCCACCCUGCAGGAGGGACGGGGUAGGGCAGAGCGGUUGCCCAGUUUUUUCACCUGUUUGCAGAUUAACCCCGGGAGGGAGAAGCUUAGGAAACUCCAGUUCCCAGGACUCCCCAGUGCGGGCUCUGGGGAUGGCUCCCGGGACCGGAGGGAGGGAGGCUGGAGCAGCAGAUGGCAAGGAAGCCCUCUGAGGCAGCCCCUCCCCACCCUCGCCCAGGGGACCGUCGCUGGCACCGUCUCGGUCCGAGACUCCUGAGCCCCCUUCUGGGAGCAAAACCUCUCCAGCACUCCUUCCCUCUCUCUUCCGGCUGGGUUCAGGACUGGGGCCAGCUUGAAUUUCAGUGAGUGUCGCGACAGGGCAGGUGCCCGGCAGGAGAUAAUCCAGGAGGGAAGAAGGGGGCGGCCUGACCAGUCAGCGCUGCCGCGUUCCGGGGACCCUGCGGCGCCCGCUCCUUCCCAGGCUCUGGGAGCCCGCAGAACGGGAGCCUCUUUCCAGUCAUGAAGUCUGCAAUUAGGAAUAAUGCAAACACAACCCCAGGCCCAGGAUCCAACCUGUGACCAUCUCACCUGACAAUGACUGUCCCUCUUAAACAGAAGAGGAAAUUAACUACAUUCUAAUUAGGAAUCCCCCAGUCAUGUUUGAAGUCUGCAAGUCCAAACAGCAGACACAGCUCAGAGAGGAGACCGCCACUUAUCCAACCACCCUCCAUCCCCAGCUCCAGAAUUCUUCCCUUAUUGCCCGCUGUCUUUCAGAUCAAACAGCACAACACCACUAAACGGAUUUUUCCCCUUUCGUCUCUUCCUUUCUCACUGCAGGGCCCCCAAGUUUCCAAGUAACUUAAAUCAUUACUGAAAGAUGUCUAGGUUCACAGACACCAACCCCGUUCAAAGAGAGCCAUGGGCACCCAAAAGGGAAGCUCACAAAGGCACAGAGGAAACAUUCCCAGGUCCAAGGUUUAGCCAACCACCUACUCAGGGAAACGAUCAGCUGCUUUGCUGGGUCUCAUCUUCCUCUCGGCCAUCUUCUUGGGGCUUGUCUGUCCCUGGGGUUCUGUUUCUGGAUUCUCUCUGGGCCUCCAGUACUCUAUGUGACUUUUGGUAAUACUAAAGGUAGGUCCCCUCUCCUCAGUGCACAGCCAGUUCAGUUGUGCCUCUCUAAUGAAGGCUUCUCCCCCAGGAAGGCUUUCCCCAGCUCUGGAGCCCCAACAGACCACUCCCUCCUCUGAGUCACUUUUUUCUUUUGACCUUGCAUUAUCUCAUCUAAGUUUUAUUUUUCCUUACAUGAGAAUGUAUAUUCCUUGAAGGGGAAGAUAUGGCUCAUUCAGUUUUGCAUCCAUCACAGCCUGCAACACUGAACACCAUAGGAGCUGAACAAACGUCGGUUUAAUGAGAAACGGAGUGUCUCUCUUGCUAUGACACCAAGUCUAAUUGCAUAGUUAUUACUUUCAGCCCCCAACAAAAAACAAGCUUUAUUUUAUGGAGAAAAGAUUCUCCUGCAUAAUAAAAAUGCA